rnacentral:snoRNA from 1 species
GAGCACUCUACCAACUGAGCUAUCUCCCCAGCCCUGCUGUUGUUCUUUUGGUUUGCAGUAGGAUGCAAGAGAAAAUAAUCCCUGCACAUUCUGUCUUCGUGGCAGUACAGAUUAAAUUGGGGAAUACAUCU